UACGUAGGGGGCUAGCGUUGUCCGGAAUCAUUGGGCGUAAAGAGCGCGUAGGCGGCUAGAUAAGUCCGGUGUGAAAGUCACAGGCUCAACCUGUGGAUGCCGCUGGAAACUGUCUGGCUAGAGUCCGGAAGGGGCGAGUGGAAUUCCUGGUGUAGCGGUGAAAUGCGCAGAUAUCAGGAGGAACACCAAUGGCGAAGGCGGCUAACUGGUCCGGUUCUGACGCUGAGGCGCGAAAGCGUGGGGAGCAAACAGG
rnacentral:rRNA from 1 species